ACCCCUAAGGCGAGGCCGAAAGGCGUAGUCGAUGGGAACCAGGUUAAUAUUCCUGGGCCAGAUGGAAGUGACGGAUCGCAGGGGUAGUUCAUCCUUAUCGGAUUGGAUGGGCUGCUGAGCGGUCCCUGGAAAUAGCUCCAUCGCUAGAUCGUACCCUAAACCGACACAGGUGGACAGGUAGAGAAUACCAAGGCGCUUGAGAGAACUAUGUUGAAGGAACUCGGCAAAAUACCUCCGUAAGUUCGCGAGAAGGAGGCCCGGUUCCUAGGCAACUAGGGGCUGGGGGCACAAACCAGGGGGUGGCGACUGUUUAUUAAAAACACAGGGCUCUGCGAAGUCGCAAGACGACGUAUAGGGUCUGACGCCUGCCCGGUGCCUGAAGGUUAAAAGGAGGGGUGAGAGCUCUGAAUUGAAGCCCAGGUAAACGGCGGCCGUAACUAUAACGGUCCUAAGGUAGCGAAAUUCCUUGUCGGGUAAGUUCCGACCUGCACGAAUGGCGUAACGACUUCCCCGCUGUCUCCAACAUAGACUCAGCGAAAUUGAAUUACCGGUCAAGAUGCCGGUUACCCGCGGUUAGACGGAAAGACCCCGUGCACCUUUACUACAGCUUCACACUGGCAUUAGGCCGAACAUGUGCAGGAUAGGUGGUGGGCUUUGAAACCGGGACGCCAGUCCCGGUGGAGCCUCCCUUGAGAUACCACCCUUGUUCUGCUUGAUGUCUAACCGCGGUCCGUUAUCCGGAUCCGGGACCCUGUGUGGCGGGUAGUUUGACUGGGGCGGUCGCCUCCUAAAUCGUAACGGAGGCGCGCGAAGGUUGGCUCAGAGCGGUCGGAAAUCGCUCGUUGAGUGCAAUGGCAGAAGCCAGCCUGACUGCGAGACUGACAAGUCGAGCAGAGUCGAAAGACGGCCAUAGUGAUCCGGUGGUCCCAAGUGGGAGGGCCAUCGCUCAACGGAUAAAAGGUACGCCGGGGAUAACAGGCUGAUACUGCCCAAGAGUCCAUAUCGACGGCAGUGUUUGGCACCUCGAUGUCGGCUCAUCUCAUCCUGGGGCUGGAGCAGGUCCCAAGGGUACGGCUGUUCGCCGUUUAAAGAGGUACGUGAGCUGGGUUUAGAACGUCGUGAGACAGUUCGGUCCCUAUCUUCCGUGGGUGUAGGAUACUUGAGAGGAGUUGCCCCUAGUACGAGAGGACCGGGGUGAACGAUCCACUGGUGGACCAGUUGUUAUGCCAAUAGCAGUGCUGGGUAGCUAUGAUCGGACAGGAUAACCGCUGAAGGCAUCUAAGCGGGAAGCCCCCCUCAAAACAAGGUAUCCCUGAGAGCCGAGAUAGACCAUCUCGUCGAUAGGCCAGAGAUGUAAGCGUGGUAACACGUUCAGUUGACUGGUACUAAUUGCUCGAUAGGCUUGAUU
rnacentral:rRNA from 1 species